GGUUGGCAUGGACUGAUUGGACCAAAGGGUAUGUUUCUGUGCUGUAUGACUCUAUGUACAAAACAUCGACAGCAUUGCCCUCAUCAACCUUCUGUUCUCUUCCCAGAAAAGGCCAACAAGUUAGUUAAAUAUGAUUCUUCCUUAAUAAGUCCAUUCUGGAUUUGUUUAGUUAAUAUGCAUUUGCCCACAUGACUUUUAAUUUGUCCUGAAUUAUUGGUUUGGAUAUUCCAAUUAUUAGAUGUUAACCUGAACCCUCAAUUCACCACUGAACUCUAUCCCUCAAAUACACCUCCACUGACACUUCAUCCCAACCCCUGACAAUCAGUCCCACUUGGGCCAGACUAAUCAGUGAAUAAGUUGAAAUUUCAUAACAGCCUUUGCAAAUUGGGAAACCCAAGCAAAGGGACAGAGGUUCAUAGAGGAAGGUCACCUUCAAGAGUAGAAAACAAGGCAAAUCAAGGUGCCACUUGAUCCCUAGUGAUAUCCGUAGAUAUAGAUUAACAGGAUUUCUGGGAGGGAAGGACAUAUUUGUAUUUAGGAUUCUUAACCCAAAAACUGUUUGAGCACUGAUAAAAUAUUUGAGAUUACUUUGAACUCUGGAACCGAGCAGAGACAGUCAAACUUGAAAGAGGAAAAAAUGCGUAGACAGUAUAAAAUGGAGUAUGUGGAUAUUUUGGGGUCCAUGUUGUGCAGUCCUAAACCAUACCGAUUAUAUUUGAACUCAAUACAGGCUCAAUAUGAAGAUAUGCCAAUCAGAUCAGAAUUUAGAAUUUUUCCAUGAGCCUCCAUGCCUAGGAACUAGAAAGAGAAAAGCCCAACCCAACAACGUUUCCCCAAUUGUUUGCUACGUUUUGAUGUGUUCAGAAAGCAAGUAUUUGCUCUUGGAUGAACAAAGCAUCAGAUCAAUCCAUGAUUGGUGGAAAAACAACAACUUAUAUUCAUACGGUAAAAUUUAACCUAAUAAUAAUUCCAAGGUACUUCACAGAGCAUUAUAAUAGAAAACAUGACAGUAAACCUUAUAAGAAUUGUGAGGGAGGAGGCAGAAGGCUUGGUCAAAGCGGUAGAUUUUGGUGUGUCUUAAAAGGGGAAAGUGAGGUGGAGACAGGUGGAGGUUUAGCCAGGCAAUUCAAGGAAAUGGGGCCUUGGCAACAGAAGAUGCAGCUAUCGAGCAAGUAAAACUAGUCAUGCUAAAGAGAGUAGCCUAAUAAGAAAGCUUAGAAGAAGAAUGUUACCAUGAACAUACUGCCAUAUGGCUUCUGCUUGUGCCUAAUCAAACUGUAACAAGAAUUAGUACUUUUGGGAAUGCAGAGCGAAGAAGCUCGUAUUAAAACUAAAAAAAAGAUAAAGCACAAAACAAGCAAAAUUAACUAUAAACAGUGAGAAUAAUUGAUGGAUUUUAAGUCAGAAAAGUUUAACAAGGUAGCAAUAAUUUACCAUAUUCACAAGUGUUUUUUGAGAGUAACAUAUUUUUUGCAAUCUUUUUCAGUUGAAUCUGCUUCUCCUUCUCCAUCAAAACGUAAUCGCAAAGUGUUCUUGAUCACCAUCUGCUCUGCGACUACUGAAGCAAGGAACCACAGCAUUGAAUACUCAAGAAUUUUGGAAUGACGGCUUCACUGACCAAUCACCUUUAGGAUCCUCACUUGUCUAACAACCAUAUCUCAGGUUAAUUGUUUCUUGAUCAAUUUAAAGAGUGCAGAUGCUCCAC